AGUGAACGCUGGCGGUAGGCCUAACACAUGCAAGUCGAACGGCAGCACAGUAAGAGCUUGCUCUUACGGGUGGCGAGUGGCGGACGGGUGAGGAAUACAUCGGAAUCUACUUUUUCGUGGGGGAUAACGUAGGGAAACUUACGCUAAUACCGCAUACGACCUACGGGUGAAAGCAGGGGAUCUUCGGACCUUGCGCGAUUGAAUGAGCCGAUGUCGGAUUAGCUAGUUGGCGGGGUAAAGGCACACCAAGGCGACGAUCCGUAGCUGGUCUGAGAGGAUGGUCAGCCACACGGGAAGUGAGACACGGUCCAGACUCAUACGGGAGGCAGCAGUGGGGAAUAUGGGACAAGGGGAGAAAGCGUGAUCCAGCCAUACCGCGUGGGUGAAGAAGGCCUUCGUGUUGUAAAGCCCUUUUGUUGGGAAAGAAAAGCAGCAGGUGAAUACCCCGCUGUUCUGACGGUACCCAAAGAAUAAGCACCGGCUAACUUCGU
rnacentral:rRNA from 1 species